CUCCGGCAACGCCCUCUCCCUCUCCUCGUCGCCGCUCUCUCACUCUCCUCGUCGCCGCCCUCUCCUCUCCCCGUCGCCGCCCUCUCCCUCUCCCCGUCGCCGGCCUCUUCCACCGCCCUUUUUCCUCACCACCCCGCCUCCACUCAUACCCCGUAAGUCAACAAAAUAUCGAUUCUUUUUGCGCCGGCGACGAGCUUCUAGGCGAAGGACGUGUGGAUGUGUAGCGGCGCCAGAGCUCGAUAUAGGCAACGAAGGCGUGGACGUGGAUCGGUGCCCGAGCGGUGGAUCUGGAGCGGCGGAUCUGGAGCGGCGCCCGAGCAACGGAGGGAGAUGGAGUUCCCUCCUGGCGUGGCGGCUCGAUCUGCAACGCCCGCAGCUGCGGUACGCCACCCUCGUUGCUGUCGCAGGGAGAUGCCGCUCUUCCCCUUCCCGGCCCGCCCUGAUGUGGUUUCCUCUCCGUGACCCGUCAUCGGAGGCACGGCCAGAGGCAUCCCCGCCGCGUGCAGCUGCUACUCCCGGACGCCGCCGCCGCCCUCCGCAAGGAGCGACGAUAACCUGAAGCUCUGCGGCCCGGCAUGCGCCGAGCGGCGCGUCGCGGGGGCACCGUCGCCGACCGGCCACACGACAUCGCUCUCGUCCAGCUAGAAGCAUGCGCUGUCGUGGCCUGCCUCCGGCUGCUUCAGCAGGCCAAGAAACUGGAACGCACCCAUGCCUGGCGACCUCAGCAUCUCCAUCGAUGAUGAUAAUUUGAUCGAAAAGGGACGGCAUGCUGAGGUGUACAAAGGACAGCUUGCUGAUUGAUAGUUUGUGGCAGUGAAGAGAUUAACAAAAAUACUUAACCAAGCAUGCUGAGAUGGCGUCGACCUUGGCCUCCUCGUCGACCUGACUCUGCAUUAAGAAAACUUGCUGGCAUCAAGUGUCCCCCUUCCUCCACCGGCAGCCUUCCAUCGAAUUCACAUCAGAAAACUUCAUUCAUUCACCCAGAAAAAAUAACUGACAUUGCCAACAUCUCACAAGAAAGAAGAGAGCAGAGUUGAAGUUGCGAGCCUGUUUACUUGCAGCUACACCUGUGUUCUUCUUCUUCUUCGCAGAAUCAAUCAGAUUCUCUUGAUUGGAGUGGAGAGGAGCAGAGACGAGAGGAGCAGCAGAAGUGGACAGCACAACGGCUGACCUCGAGCUCUUGAUUGGAGUUGGGGGAGGCGGCCGGCGAAGGAUCUGUGGCCAACAGUGAAGGAUCCGAAGCUGUGGCGGAGCAGGCAGCCGGCGGGAAGGGCGGCCGGCGAGGGAGCUGCGGACCGCGGCGGGGAAGGGCGACCGAUGAGGGAGCUGCGGACCGUGGCGGGGAAGGACGCCAGAGAUGCGGACGACGGAGGAGCCUGGCGAAAGGGAGUAGCGACGGCGUAGAAGCCUGGCGGAGGGGAGGAGCGACGGAGGAAGACGCCUCCCGAUUGAUUUCAAAUCGGGGGUAGUAUUUUACUUUCACACUGUUUCACCUGGUCGGAACGACGCCCCCAGCGACAAUUAUUUCGGAACGGAGGGAGUAGUUUAGUACUUCAUGUUAUGACCGUCAUAUUAGGGGCUUAGCCCAGGGUUGUGGCCCAAGUUAUCUUAUUGUUAUUAGGGGCUUAGCCCGAUUAUCUUAUCGUUUGCUUAGGAGUCAAGUAAACCUUUCU